CUUAAGUGCAGCUGACAAUUUGUUUGCUUGAGCAAGAACUCUCCGCUGAGCGCGUCAACUGUAGCUGUUGAAAUGACUGCCAACCUGCUUAAAUAGUUUGGAUGGCCUGAAUGGUUCUCGAGUGGAACUGCCAACUUGACGUGACUCACAAUUGAAAACUAACUUGCUUAAAAGGUUAUCUACGAUAGCAGUUGGAAUGAGCUUUCUCAAGUGGAGCUGCCAAACUCAACUCACCUCCAAAAUUUGUAUGUAUUCUUAAAACUAUGCAAGUGUCUUAAAGUAUGUUUUUUCAAAGGUGUCAACUUGUUGUUGUCUCUGUGAGCCAUGAAAACUCGACUUGCUUCAAAUGCUCUUAAUGAAUGUGGAUGUAAAGUGAAACUGCCAACUCAAUCCAAAUGUUGUCAGUUAGUGGAAAGCAGGUGAAGCCAUGUGAGUCAGACAAAUUGUGGUUAAAUAAGUGAAAUAAAGAGGUGAAUACAGUUCAAAUGGCAAGUACAUAUAGCUUCAAGAGCGGCAAAGUACUAUACAUUCAAACGAACAAACAGCUGAAGUCUUCUCUUUUCAUUGUGCUGAUUGCUUCUACAAAUGUUGGCAUAUAUCGAAACUAUUUUAAGUUCAGUCGUGCAUGUGUGCGUGUCCACUGCAGUGACAGCUGCAUAGCAGCAGAAGAAGAGGAAGAAAUAAAACGAGAGUCACUCGCAAAGUCCAUAUUUAAUUGCUUGCUUUUGCUGAGCGGGACAAAGUUGUUUGGAUUGUCGUUUGGAUUGUUGUUGCUGUGGUUGUUUGUGAUAUGGACUUCAAGUGAAUGCGUAAAUAAAUGCUAAGAAAACUUUAUAAUUAUGCUAAUUGUGGCCACAAAGACAGUCGACGUUCGCAACGGCCGAGACGGCCGAGUUUGAUGUUUGGCAAAAAGCUUCUUGUUUUUGGGGAAACCGCUGCAACCCAAUAGCGCCAACGCCUGCAACUGUUGUACUGUAUGUUGUGUGGGUCUGUCGCACUUGGACCAUAGAUAUGCAAAUGUAAUUAGUUGCAUGCCACAGCGGACGCACCGGACAUGCAGGCGGUUACACGGCUUCAGCUAUACGCUCCAGCGAAACAAUUUAUAGUGAAAAUAGAAUUAAAACCACGAAAGCAAAACAUGCUAAACAAAACAACAUAGCGACAGAACAAUAAAAAUAAAAAUAAAAUAAAAGCCAACAGAGAGCUAGAAGAAAGCGAUAGAAAAAUGUAUAAAGCUGAAGAAAAAUGCAAACUGCCAGACUAGGCGGGAGCGGGGGCGGGUUGCGCAGAGGAGCGGAGUCGGUCGGCUAAACCAAGAUUUAUAUGCAACAAAAGAAUUAACUUAAACAAUGUUUCUUACUCGUGCAUGAACGACUCAUCGAC